UUUUGAGGAUAUUCUUUAUUUAACAAGUCAACAAAAAGCACCAUAGAAUUCUCCCGUCUGUGUAAUUCGAACUACCAUACAAAACAUUAAAUAUAACACAUGAUUUAAAGCUGCUGUGUGAUUAUCAUCUUGCCAUCUGCUCUGCACAGUGCCUGUGUGGGGCAACUCAUACGUAAAAUGAAUCGUAAAUACUUUAAACAAACAUGUAUUGUCAGCAGUGAAGCUACAAAAUGUGCUGUAGUGGACUUUAAAUGUUUUCUUUUUCGACUUUUCCUCGUCCACAACGACUACUCGACUAUGCAAAAAUAAUUACGGGGCUUAAAUUGCUGUACUGAACCUGUGGCUGCUGUCUCUGGUGUCUCUGACGUUUAUCUGAAUUUGUGUGUUGAGACUUGGUGUAAGAAUUUCUGUCACUUAGCAACAAGCUGUUGGAAAAUUACACUUUACUUUCACAGUAGACUACAGUGAGGUCGGGCUUCUCUUGCUCCUCAAAUACUCAAAUACUAAACCAGAAAUGAAUAUUUACCUUCUUGUCAAUUGCUGGGUCAAUAUAUAAUUGAAGUACUUUUGAAGUCCAUGGGAUACGUCUUGCAUACAUUUUUAUUAAAACAGGAAAAAAAUAAUGUUUUUUAUGUUCAUUGCGAUCAUGUCUUUACAAAUUCUGUAAUUAUUUGUUAUGGAAACAAUCACUUAUUAAUAAAAAAAUGACUGGAUAUCACUAAAAUGUCAACUAAAUAACUGUCCCAGUUUAAUAACAACCACCUUCUAAUUAGUUAAACAAUAAUAAAAUGAGCUGAUUCAGAAAUUUUGAUUGUGUUCUUUUUAUUAAGUUGAGAUAAUCAUGACAAAUAUUUCUUUUUCAGCAACGUAUCAGAUUUUAUAUAGUUAAAAUAACAAAUUGUAUCUGUGUCCCAGAAAUCACUUUCAACUAAGUUCCUCAUUACAAAAACACUUCUGAAGGAAGUGUGUUAAUUCCAGAUCACAUGACCUACGUUACAAAAAGUCUCGCAAUUAUAUAUUGACCCUGCUGCUGCUGUUGUUGGUGGACCUGCAGUGACAAUAUAAUGCCCUCCUUGAACAUGUAAAGUCAAUGACCUUAGGAUGGCUUUGUUAUUAAUGCCUUUUAUAGAGUAACUCCACUGAUUUUUACACAUCAAAGUGUGUUUACAGGCCUCGGGGAGCACCACUGAAUAUGUAAAAUGAUGCUGUCCAAAGCCUUUUGUGGCUCCUGGAGAGCGAGCUUUGUGAGGUUGUAGAAAGGUGCAAGUUUGACAGAAAAUCUGAGGGAGUUGGAGUUAAAAAAUUUUUAAAAAAAAGAGCUUGGCAAAACUCUGUAGCUCACUCACCAUUUCUACUGCAGGCUACAGACUCAAGGCCGUAUUAGCUGCUGUUGCCACGACUACAACCAGUUGAUUUGCAUGGAUUUUGCAAUGAGAAAUGCAUAAAAAUACCUCUAGUUCUGUUGCAUUCACAUUUUAAAUUGUCCAUUAUGAGUCAAACAAAUAAACUACAUUGGUGAAGUACCCUUUUAAAUGUUUUAGGUCCAAAAAUCUGUUAAAACAAAAAAGUGGGAAUCUUAUGUCCUUCUGGUGUAUGGUAUGAGAAGUUUAUUGUGAUUCAUAAAUACUUGUGACACAGUUGUAACUUGUCUUUGAAAAAGGAGACAGGCUUUUAAAACAUUGUAUUCAAGUAUUUAGGAGUGCACACAGGACAAACAGGAAACAUCCACUGCAUCAGUCAGUACAGUACAUUACAUUGCAAGGCAGGUUAGCAUUUCUGUGGCUUUUAACAUAUCGAGCAAAGUGCAAAAAACACAACAGAUCAACCUUAAAGGCUGUGAUAUCUUCCAACAAGACGAUAGCACGCACAAACUGUUUUAAAAGUGUGUGUUGACGUAUUUUCAGUUGCAUUUUCAGUUGUCAAGUCACAUUAAAUGGCAAAUAUCAGUCUGUAUACGUGGAAUGGCUGGUUAAAAUGUUUAAGAGUACACUAUUAAGACUUGAGGUGGUUGAAAGAAACUGUUAAUUAAAAAAUAUUCAAUA
ensembl:lncRNA